GCAGCGAUGUCCGAGUGGUUAAGGAGAUUGACUAGAAAUCAAUUGGGCUCUGCCGGCGUUGGUUCGAAUCCUCCUCGCUGCG
rfam:Angiostrongylus costaricensis strain Costa Rica genome assembly, scaffold: ACOC_contig0003081